rnacentral:rRNA from 1 species
GACGAACGCUGGCGGCGUGCUUAACACAUGCAAGUCGAACGGAAAGGCCCUGCUUUUGUGGGGUGCUCGAGUGGCGAACGGGUGAGUAACACGUGAGUAACCUGCCCUUGACUUUGGGAUAACUUCAGGAAACUGGGGCUAAUACCGGAUAGGAUCUCCUGCUGCAUGGUGGGGGUUGGAAAGUUUCGGCGGUUGGGGAUGGACUCGCGGCUUAUCAGCUUGUUGGUGGGGUAGUGGCUUACCAAGGCUUUGACGGGUAGCCGGCCUGAGAGGGGGACCGGCCACACUGGGACUGAGAUACGGCACAGACUCCUACGGGAGGCAGCAGUGGGGAAUAUUGCACAAUGGGCGGAAGCCUGAUGCAGCAACGCCGCGUGCGGGAUGACGGCCUUCGGGUUGUAAACCGCUUUCGCCUGUGACGAAGUGUGAGUGACGGUAAUGGGUAAAGAAGCACCGGCUAACUACGUG